AUGCUCGCUUCAGCAGCAUAUAUACUAAAAUUGGAACAAUACAGAGAAGAUUAGCAUGUCCUCUGUGCAAGGAUGAUACGCAAAUUUGUAAAGUGUUUCAUAUUUUA